CUAACACAUGCAAGUCGAGCGGUAACAGGGGUAGCUUGCUACCCGCUGACGAGCGGCGGACGGGUGAGUAAUGCAUAGGAAUCUGCCCGAUAGUGGGGGAUAACCUGGGGAAACCCAGGCUAAUACCGCAUACGUCCUACGGGAGAAAGGGGGCUUCGGCUCCCGCUAUUGGAUGAGCCUAUGUCGGAUUAGCUAGUUGGUGAGGUAAUGGCUCACCAAGGCAACGAUCCGUAGCUGGUCUGAGAGGAUGAUCAGCCACAUCGGGACUGAGACACGGCCCGAACUCCUACGGGAGGCAGCAGUGGGGAAUAUUGGACAAUGGGGGCAACCCUGAUCCAGCCAUGCCGCGUGUGUGAAGAAGGCCCUCGGGUUGUAAAGCACUUUCAGCGAGGAAGAACGCCUAUCGGUUAAUACCCGGUGGGAAAGACAUCACUCGCAGAAGAAGCACCGGCUAACUCCGUGCCAGCAGCCGCGGUAAUACGGAGGGUGCAAGCGUUAAUCGGAAUUACUGGGCGUAAAGCGCGCGUAGGUGGCUUGAUAAGCCGGUUGUGAAAGCCCCGGGCUCAACCUGGGAACGGCAUCCGGAACUGUCAGGCUAGAGUGCAGGAGAGGAAGGUAGAAUUCCCGGUGUAGCGGUGGAAAUGCGU
rnacentral:rRNA from 1 species